CCAUGCAUUGACGAAAGGAUGACCUGCAGCUACAUGACACCACCAAGUUGGUCCAACCGGGCGUUCCCAGUAUGGAGCUGCAACAUCUGCUACAGUGACAUCAUCUUCCUCAUCGGUAAGCUCAAGAGGCUGAGAGCCCCAAUCAGUAUCAACAUGCACUGUCUGAAGCAGCUCAGAUAUUCUAGCCCAGCCUAUUGGUAUCCAGUAAAAGCUCAAGAGGCUGAGAGGCCCAAUCAGUAUCAACAUGCACUGUCUGAAGCAGCUCAGAUAUUCUAGCCCAGCCUAUUGGUAUCCAGUAAUUACCAGAAGAUCUUUCUCGGGGAUUGUAAGGAUAAUCUUGUUGAUAACCUU
rnacentral:lncRNA from 1 species